GACGAACGCUGGCGGCGUGCCUAACACAUGCAAGUCGAACGAAACUGCACAGAUGAAGUUUCGGAUGGAUUCUGUGCACGUUGAGUGGCGGACUGGUGAGUAACGCGUGAGCAACCUGCCUUGGAGUGGGGAAUAACACCGGGAAACCGGUGCUAAUACCGCAUAAAGUGCAGUGGGGACAUCCCCAUUGCACCAAAGGAGCAAUCCGCUCUGAGAUGGGCUCGCGUCCAAUUAGCUAGAUGGUGAGGUAACGGCUCACCAUGGCGACGAUUGGUAGCCGGACUGAGAGGUUGAACGGCCACAUUGGGACUGAGAUACGGCCCAGACUCCUACGGGAGGCAGCAGUCGAGAAUAGUCUACAAUGGACGGAAGUCUGAUAGUGCGACGCCGCGUGAACGAAGAAUCCCUUCGGGGUGUAAAGUUCUUUUAUACGUGAGCAGUGUCCUUUAUAUUAAUAGUAUAAGGGGAGAGAUAUUAGCGUAUGAAU
rnacentral:rRNA from 1 species